ensembl:snRNA U6 U6 spliceosomal RNA
AAACUGCCCUCUCAGUUACUAAUGGCCAGUUGCAAUGAUACAGAGAAAAUGAGUGUGGUUCCUUGUACAAGAAUGACAUGCAACUUCCUGAGUCUUCUGUAUUUUUC